rnacentral:lncRNA from 1 species
UAAACAAAAUCCAAUAUAUACAUAAACAAAAUCCUAAUCAUGUCCAUGCAUUAAGUCAUUCCAUCACCUAUACAAUUCAAACCACAUACAUCAUUAUACAUCAUUACAUUCACAACUAUCAUAAUAGAUUUUUAACAUAACUUAACUUCCCUAACCAUCAUUCUAACUACCCUAAAAUGUUCAAAUUCACAUUACCUUAAUUACCCCUCAAUCUAAUUAUAUUUUUCCCUCCAAUUAACUAACUUAAAAACCUAUAAGUUCACAUACUAAAC